UACGAAGGGGGCUAGCGUUGUUCGGAUUUACUGGGCGUAAAGCGCACGUAGGCGGAUCGAUCAGUCAGGGGUGAAAUCCCAGAGCUCAACUCUGGAACUGCCUUUGAUACUGUCGAUCUGGAGUAUGGAAGAGGUGAGUGGAAUUCCGAGUGUAGAGGUGAAAUUCGUAGAUAUUCGGAAGAACACCAGUGGCGAAGGCGGCUCACUGGCCCGGUACUGACGCUGAGGUGCGAAAGCGUGGGGAGCAAACAGG
rnacentral:rRNA from 1 species